CGGACACAACUGAGUGACUGAACUGAACUGAACUGAACUGUCUGGAUUUGAAUUCUUAUGAUUCAGCAAAAUGUUUAAUGAUGCUUAUUGUUUUGUUACCAGAGAUAGAAUAAUUGAGAGUAAUGAGUGCACUGAUAAGAGUUGAUCACAGGGUUCUCUGAAACCACAGGAGAGGUAUGUAGCCUAAUCUUAGAGAUCAGCAAGUUUUCUAGAGGAAGUGAUUCCUAAACUGAGGUCUGAAACACCAGUAAAAACACCAAUAGCACUCAAUUGUCUGUACCACUCAUCAACUGCAUGCUCAACUUUAUAUGUAACAGCCUUCCUUCAUAAGUUUUCAAGGAAUGUUUUUCAUCGAAUUGGUGCUAGUGAACCCAUUCUUUAUUCAUGAUGCUACACACAGUUCUUUCUGCAAAACAACCCACACCUCCCAUCCAUACCCAGCAUUCUUGGGGAAAUUUAAACAUAAGAUAGAUGCUUUCACCAUGAAAUUAUGAAUUAGCUAUGUGAUUUAAAAACAGAAAUCAAGUGUAUUUCAAGUCAGUAAUUUCACAUUGAAACUGAAAUUUUCCUGAUGGCUGAAACCCAAUCUCAUUGAAUGACUGAAGAUCAUAUUCUUUCCUUGGCUCAUUUUUUAUUUUCACCAGGGCCUUAAUUAGUAGAGUCACUAAUCUCCACGCUUCUUGAUUCCCAUAGGCCCACUCUGUUAUACAGAGUGUGUGUUUGACUGUAUGCUCGGUUACCCAAGUUAUUUUAGAAUCUGUUGAUUGUUACCUUAUGAGGAGAAAAGAAAUGAAUUGCAUUCCAUAUCUUUUGCAUAUUCCAUCUUAAUUUUUGUCUCCCUUCUUUCUCCUCAUAUUGUUACCCUUACUCAGAUAGAUUGUAAACUAGUUGAGGACAGGAACCAUGAACUGCUGCUACACCCAACCCUGACGGCUGAAUGUGCCCUCUUAAUUCCAGGAUCCCAUCCUCACAAAGCAGAUCUCAACAUCCCCCUGGAACCGAGCAAUGUGGCAGCCCUGGAACUCCGUGCAAGAGUUCUUUUGUAUUUUCCCAGUGUUUCCAAGGAUGAAGAAGCUGUUUGGCAGCCAAAGGUGGACAUUUCUCCCAAAGAGGAUAUUGGAAAAGGAAGGACUCCUCAGAAGGUGAAGUCAAGAGUUAUGAAGUACAAUAGGCUGUGAAGCCACUCCUAGGAAACAAAACCAAAGAUUGAUUAAGCAAAGUUCCUUACACAGAGAUUUGUAGACCUUGUAACAAUUCCUCCAUGGGAUUUCAGAACUUCUGUGAACCAGUGAUUGCUGGAUUUCCCCCCACCCUUUUUCCCCUUUCUAAAUGAGAGUUUUUGUUGUGAUUACACUAGUUUAUUAUGGGUGUGAAGGUAUGUAUUUUAUCACAGGUAGGUACAAAUAACAAGUGUUUUAUUUCAUAGUACUUGGCUCAAUAGAGCUAUAUUUGGGCAUGAUAUAAACUCAAGAUCCUGAAUUUCAAGCUAGAGGUUUAGAUCAGACCUUGGAGUAUCUUUAGGAUCUGGUGAUUACAUUUUGUUUACAAAAAGGAAGUGGAUAUUUGUGAGAGCAGGCUGUGGUAGGUUACAUUACUUCACAAAUAUUUAUUCCCUCCAUAGCCUUGCCAUGCUUCUCUGUGAGACAGUCUAUUUUCCUUUCCACGGACUUAGGCCUGUGUGAUAUUACUUUCUUUAACAAAUAAAUUGCCUCAGUAGAAGUUUUAAAUGUGCUUGCAAAUGUGACAUACCUUGUGCAUGGUUUGGUACCCAGUUCCGAUGUUUCCCUCCAAAAUAAGAAUAGCAUGUCCAAGAUAUUAGCUUACUCCUUUGAAAAGAUACUUUUCAUAGAGCCAAGGUUUAGCUCAACCAAACUCAGCAGAGCCUCCACCGUCAUGAACUUAGGCAAUCAAUACACA